GGAAAAAGUUACCCUAUAAUCACACCAUGGGUUCAAGGUCAUUUUCAGCAGCAAUCUCAAUUGAGGGAAUUGAAACUGGAAAGGAGCCUCACAUUGUAGAUUUUUUCAAGACCUCACAUUGGAGUAAGAAAAAAAAAGAUUGGAUUGAACCAGUUUGUGCGGAGUUAUAUGAAAAGAUGGACCAACUUCGUGAGGAAUCUUCACAGCCUGGAGCAAC